rnacentral:rRNA from 1 species
CAGCAGGCGCGCAAAUUACCCACUCCCAGCACGGGGAGGUAGUGACGAAAAAUAACAAUACGGGACUCUUUUGAGACCCCGUAAUUGGAAUGAGUACACUCUAAAUCCUUUAACGAGGAUCCAUUGGAGAGCAAGUCUGGUGCCAGCAGUCGCGGUAAUUCCAGCUCCAAUAGCGUAUAUUAAAGUUGUUGCGGUUAAAAAGCUCGUAGUUGGAUCUCAGCUCCGGCCGGACGGUCCGCCUACCGGUGGUCACUGUUCGCUGCCGAGCGUUCAGGGGGCUCUCGUCGAUGAUCUUCAUCGGUUGUCGUCGGGGACCCUCACGUUUACUUUGAAAAAAUUAGAGUGCUCAAAGCAGGCGCGACGCCUGAAUAAUUGUGCAUGGAAUAAUGGAAUAGGACCUCGGUUCUAUUUUGUUGGUUUUCGGAACACGAGGUAAUGAUUAAGAGGGACAGACGGGGGCAUUCGUAUUGCGACGCUAGAGGUGAAAUUCUUGGACCGUCGCAAGACGAACUACUGCGAAAGCAUUUGCCAAGAAUGUUUCCAUUAAUCAAGAACGAAAGUUAGAGGUUCGAAGGCGAUCAGAUACCGCCCUAGUUCUAACCAUAAACGAUGCCAGCCAGCGAUCCGGCUGUGUUCCUCAAAUGACACGCCGGGCAGCUUCCGGGAAACCAAAGCUUUUGGGUUCCGGGGGAAGUAUGGUUGCAAAGCUGAAACUUAAAGGAAUUGACGGAAGGGCACCACCAGAAAUGGAGCCUGCGGCUUAAUUUGACUCAACACGGGAAAACUUACCCGGCCCGGACACAGGAAGGAUUGACAGAUUAAGAGCUCUUUCUUGAUUCUGUGGGUGGUGGUGCAUGGCCGUUCUUAGUUGGUG